UGCAGUCGAGGGGUAACGGGGUGCUUGCACCGCCGACGACCGGCGCACGGGUGCGUAACGCGUAUACAAUCUACCUUUUGCUGAGGAAUAGCCCAGAGAAAUUUGGAUUAAUGCCUCAUAGUAUGUCGACCUCGCAUGAGGAUGAUAUUAAAGGUUACGGCAAAAGAUGAGUAUGCGUUCUAUUAGCUAGAUGGUGUGGUAACGGCACACCAUGGCAACGAUAGAUAGGGGCCCUGAGAGGGGGAUCCCCCACACUGGUACUGAGACACGGACCAGACUCCUACGGGAGGCAGCAGUGAGGAAUAUUGGACAAUGGAGGGAACUCUGAUCCAGCCAUGCCGCGUGCAGGAAGACUGCCCUAUGGGUUGUAAACUGCUUUUAUACGGGAAGAAACACCACUACGUGUAGUGGCUUGACGGUACCGUAAGAAUAAGGAUCGGCUAACUCCGUGCCAGCAGCCGCGGUAAUACGGAGGAUCCAAGCGUUAUCCGGAAUCAUUGGGUUUAAAGGGUCCGUAGGUGGAUAAUUAAGUCAGAGGUGAAAUCUUGCAGCUCAACUGUAAAAUUGCCUUUGAUACUGGUUAUCUUGAGUUAUUAUGAAGUAGUUAGAAUAUGUAGUGUAGCGGUGAAAUGCAUAGAUAUUACAUAGAAUACCAAUUGCGAAGGCAGAUUACUAAUAAUUAACUGACACUGAUGGACGAAAGCGUGGGGAGCGAACAGGAUUAGAUACCCUGGUAGUCCACGCCGUAAACGAUGGAUACUAGCUGUUCGGUUUUCGGACUGAGUGGCUAAGCGAAAGUGAUAAGUAUCCCACCUGGGGAGUACGUUCGCAAGAAUGAAACUCAAAGGAAUUGACGGGGGCCCGCACAAGCGGUGGAGCAUGUGGGUUUAAUUCGAUGAUACGCGAGGAACCUUACCAGGCUUAAUG
rnacentral:rRNA from 1 species